ACUAUGGUGGCAGAGAAUGCAUUAAAUUUAAGUUCUAAAUACAUAGAUUAGUCUAUCCAUAGUA
rnacentral:tRNA from 1 species